rnacentral:rRNA from 1 species
AGCGAACGCUGGCGGCAUGCCUAACACAUGCAAGUCGCACGGGGGGGCCUCGGCCUCCCAGUGACGGACGGGUGAGGCACGGGAAGGGACCCGUUGCUGGGGGGUGGAUAACCGCGGGAAAUUGCGGUUAAUAACGCAUGACGCCGACGCGUGACUGCCGGGGCAAGAGGGGACCGCCGCCCGGCGAUGGGCCUGCGUCGGAUUAGCUGGUCGGCGGGGUAGCGGCCCACCAAGACGGCGAUCGGUAGCUGGUCUGAGAGGGUGAUCAGCCACACCGGGACUGAGACACGGCCCGGACUCCUACGGGAGGCAGCAGUGGGGAAUAUUGGACAAUGGGCGCAAGCCUGAUCCAGCAAUGCCGCGUGGGUGAAGAAGGUCUUCGGAUUGUAAAGCCCUUUCGGCAGGGACGAUAAUGACGGUACCUGGAGAAGAAGCCCCGGCUAACUUCGUG